rnacentral:rRNA from 1 species
AGAGUUUGAUCCUGGCUCAGGACGAACGCUGGCGGCGUGCUUAACACAUGCAAGUCAGGGGGCGGGGCUUCGGCCCCGUCACCGGCGAACGGGUGCGGAACACGUGAGCGACCUGCCCUGGAGUGGGGGAUAGCCGGCCCAACGGCCGGGUAAUACCGCAUACGACGCCGGCUUCGAGGCCGGACGUGAAACCCGCAAGGGACUCGAGGAGGGGCUCGCGGCCUAUCAGCUAGUUGGGGGGGUAACGGCCUCCCAAGGCGAUGACGGGUAGCUGGUCUGAGAGGAUGGCCAGCCACAUUGGGACUGAGACACGGCCCAGACUCCUGCGGGAGGCAGCAGUUAGGAAUUUUGGGCAAUGGGCGCAAGCCUGACCCAGCAACGCCGCGUGGGCGAUGAAGCCCUUCGGGGUGUAAAGCCCUUUUCGGUGGGACGAAUCUGACGGUACCACCGGAAGAAGCCCCGGCUAACUACGUGCCAGCAGCCGCGGUAAUACGUAGGGGGCAAGCGUUGUCCGGAUUCAUUGGGCGUAAAGCGCGCGCAGGCGGCUUGGAGAGCCCGGCGUGAAAGCCCCCGGCUCAACCGGGGGAGGCCGUCGGGGACCUUCAGGCUGGAGGCCGGUAGGGGAGAGCGGAAUUCCCGGUGUAGUGGUGGAAUGCGUAGAGAUCGGGAGGAACACCAGUGGCGAAGGCGGCUCUCUGGACCGGUCCUGACGCUCAGGCGCGAAAGCGUGGGGAGCGAUCCGGAUUAGAUACCCCCGUAGUCC